UACACGGCUAUAGGCAUUCUAGCAGGUUGUUAUACAGUCGACACUCGCUACUUCGAACCUCAAUAAAUCGAGUUUCCCGAUAAAUUGAAAUGGUUUUAAAAUCUUCGAUAGAUAGAAGAAAUCGGAUGUGUGCGUUGUACAAGGGUUAAAUAAAAAUGACUGUCGUGACAUGCCGCCCAGAAACGCACAUUAUAAUUCGUAGUUAGCAGUUACCUUCCUCGCCAUUUAAUUCUUUGCUACACUCCUUUGUUUUCUCAACAAUACAUAAUAUUACAAUACAUAACUCAGUUGCAAAACUGGCUUCAAAGAACUGCAAGUGUUUCAUUCAAGCAAAAACAAGCUCUCUAUUGAGGCCGAAGCAGAAAGAUUGUUCUGUCUGGAACCGUGCGACCGCUACGGUCGCAGGUUCGAAUCCUGCCUCGGGCAUGGAUGUGUGAGGAUUAACUUAGGUUUAAGUAGUUCUAAGUUCUAGGAGACUGAUGACCUCGGAUGUUAAGUCCGAUAGUGCUCAGAGCCAUUAGAACCAGAAAGAUCGGAUUGCAGACCUAGCAAGAGGUACUGGUAUGAGGCAUCGGGGUGUACCAUCACAAAUCAAGCACUGCAAAUAACAGGCCAUACACUCCGAAGACCAUCUGUCCAGGGGGCAUUAAACGUGAUUCAUCUGAAAAUGUCACCUGUCGCCACGCAGUGGACAUCCAGUCGCGGCCUGGCGUGCAAAUUCCAGCCUUCGUCGCCGAUGAAUAGCAGUCAGCAUGGAUGCAUGAAACAGGCGCCUGUUGCAGAGAUCCAAACGCAGUAACGUUUACAAAGUGGUCGUUGAGAAGAAACUGUUGGUAGGCCCUUGAUCCAUCUGGGCAGACGGUUGCACAUCUGUUCGCCCAUGCACCUCUCCGUAACCGUCGUUCAUCCUUGUCAUCUAUGGCCUGUGGUGCAAGCCAGCUGACUCAGCGUCAGUUUUGGAUGGCGCCAUUUUGACAUGCACGGUAUGCUUUAAUCACAGCGGCAUGGGAACAGUUUACAAGCGUAGCUAUUUCUGAAAUGAUUCCACCCUUCGCUCGAAAGCGAAUGAUAAUGUCGUUAUAGGACGUCAGAUACAUUGCUCUAUUUUCGCAUUGCAACUAUUGCACUGGUUUCUGCGUCCCCCAAACAAGCCCUCCACUGUUAGUGCUGCCAUCUGCCGUCUGUGAGCUGUUAUUGCACACUGACGUGGAACAUAUGCGGUGGACAUUAAUGUGACUGGACCAUGUCUGCGUAUUUAUUUCCUUACAAAUUUUUCGCAUGAGUAUAUCAUUUUUGCAAAAUAUUAAAAAUUUAAAAAAUAAAAGCUUCUGAACCUAUA